rnacentral:misc_RNA from 1 species
GUAGGUGAACCUGCGGAAGGAUCAUUAACAAAUGUCCUUGACAUCGCUUUGCGCUGGGUGCAAACCCGGCCGGAGUGCCAACCCUUUGUGAACCAAACACACCUUCGCUUCCGCGGUAGGCCGCCUCAACCGGUUGGCUCUAAACCCGCGGACGGCACCAAACCAAACCUUUAUCAAAACCUGUCUGAACGAUUCUAUACGAAUAAAUUAAAACUUUCAACAACGGAUCUCUUGGUUCUCGCAUAGAUGA